GUGGUUCCUGGGUCGCUGGUAUGCCUGGUUCCCUGGGGAAGAACAGUUUAAACUGGGUGAACAAUCUACCAGCUCCAGCUGGGUAGACCAUCUACCAGCUCCAGCUGGCUAGUGAUAUGAUGGCAUGAAUGUUGACCCACCCCUCUUCCCCGUCUCAUCGACGGCCAACCGGCGUACACGGUGAGGCGCCUCCUGAAGGUUUAACUGCGGGGCAGGGGAUUCCAGUACCUGGUUGAAUGGGAGGGUUAUGGCCCGGAGGAGAGGGGCUGGCUCCCCGCUAGGGACAUCCUGGACCCAGGCCUCAUCGCUGAGUUCAACGCAGGCACCCCGGUAUGCAUCCAGUUCCUGUCUUCUAGCAUUCCUGGUUUUUGACCAUUCUGCCUGCCCUGACCCUGAGCCUGCCUGCCGUUCUGUACCUUGUCACUCCACCCUGGAUUACCAACCUCUGCCUGCCCUGACCUUGAGCCUGCCGUUCUGUACCUUUUGUCACCACCCUGGAUUACUGACCUCUGCCUGCC
ensembl:lncRNA